GGUUUCUCUAUGUAGCCCUGGCUGUCCUGGAACUUGCUCAGUAUACCAGUCUAGCCUUAAACUCAGAGAUCCUUCCUCUGCCUCUGUCUCUAGUGUGCUUGGACUAAAGGCAUGAGCUGUCGCCCUCACCCCACCCCUGGCUUAGAGUAGUAUUUUCAAAGCAUAAACAUUUGGGUAAUAGAAACUUGGCAUAUUGUGCAAGGGAUGGUGCGGAAAGGGCACCCCAGCAUAUCUGACUUCACAUCUCUGCCCCAGCUCUUCGUCCUUAUAGGUGCUCUCUGGAUAUAUGUCUCUACAUCGGGCUCACACCUCUGAACCCCAAUUUUCACAUAAGGAGACUUGCCAUUAGGGUCCUUAGUAGCACAGAGAAGCAUAUAGUAGACUGAAGAGUUUACCCAGCGCAUCCUUAUACGGCCUCGUCCAUUCACAUGCCUUUGUCAGAAUCUAUCCAGUGAUUUCACUGAUGAGACCCUACUGCCUGAGGAUCUGCUGAAGCAGCUUUCGGUAGGAGUAGUGCAAGAUUAUGCCUGGUAGCUUCCGUUCAGUGUUUGGUUCCAAAGACUCCAGCAUUUAUAGGACCGGCUGCAAUUCUAACAACCUCUUAAAGGAUUUGAGGCCGGUUCUCCAGUUAGGCCCCCAAACCAUCACAGGCAAGGAGUUCUAGCCAGCCAGCCUUAGAAACACAGUCCCUAAGUACCUGAGAGCACCCAGUGGGCUGCAGCCUCCUACUUGGUCCCUCUUUAAAGAAGACAGACAUUCAAGCAAUGGAGGAACUGUUCAGUUAGCUUGGGGCCAUUUCUGCACCCCCAGAUUUUCAUGAUUUUUCUCUCAGGACCCACUCUGACCGGUAGACUUGAAUUUAGCCUCAAGUGAUUUACUAAAAACAGCUCAGAAGCUCAGUUAAAAAAUAGAAUCGCCACGUGGUCAUUCUAAGUAUAAAUGAAGACUCCAGGAUGUACUGGGUGCUGCUAUCUCAAAGACAGUACUUUCCUUUAAAUAGAAAGGUGUGUGUGCCUCCGGCCUGCAACGGGGCGCUAGCCAACUUGUUUGAGGAAGUCAAUAGCAAACAUUUUGAAUUUUAAAGUAUGUCCUAAGCUUGUUUUUUAAGUAACCAUAGCUGCUCUCUUAAAAGCUGUCACUAUUAAAGCCAGUCACAGCCAUUCUCGUUGCAGGAGUUAAAUCAUGUCAACUUUCUAACAUCACAGUUGUUUCAGUCUUCUGUCCAAAGAACUGCUCUUCUGGAGAAAACACGAUUUUGUUUUUGUUUUUUGUCUUGGUUUUGUUUUUCCUGAGACGGGGUUUCUCUGUGUAGCCCUGGCUAUCCUGGAACUCACUGUGUAGACCAGGCUAGCCUCGAACUCGUGUAGAUCUACCCGCUAGGACUCAAGGCAUGCACCACCAUGCCGGCUGACUAUUUUUUAUGAGAAGCACAGAAGUGGCUCACAUUUUCUUAAAGCACAUUUUUGUCACAUUACAGUAGAGUUCAGAAAAGAAUAACAUUAAAAGUCCCCAUCCCAGUGUGACGCUUGUGUUAGCACAUACUGAUAGCCAUCAGAAUAAUACUUGCCUGCUUGUGACAGGAAAUGAAAGACAUUGUAUAAUUUCCAAAUCUUUAAAAAAUACCAAAAAAGUAGGAACCGUAUAUUGAAAGGUCAUUUUAAAUUUUCCAUGUGUUUCUAGCCAUAUACGUUUGCCUUUAAGUAUAUUCUAAGAAAAAUUUCAGCACUUAUGGGCUGGGUAUGUCAAAAUACACAUUCUGUAGGGGUGCACAGAAAUUGCUGGCACUCCUCCCUCAAUUCAUAAGAAGAGAACAGCUAUCUGAAGCUAUACUCACUAUAUAUACACUAUUAAAAAAUAAAUAAAAAUUUAAAAGGCUUUUGCCUCUCGUGCAGGCUGAGGAUGGACAGCUUAUAUAAGCCUUAUCCAAAAAAAUUAAAAAAAAAAAAAAAAAGCAGUCCUCUGUAAUGUUCAUGCUCACAUCCGUGGGCUUCCCGUGAAAGGUGCUCAUACAUUCAUCCUCACAAUGGGAAAGCAAUCGAAGCCGUAAGUCCUGGAAUGAUUAGUAAUAGUGGUCCCUCAGACCCAUGAGAACAUAGGCCUUCAUCUCCUACCAGCUGCCUUCCUAUAGAUGGGUUCCGUCCAGUUAUGCAGGCCAGGCC
rnacentral:lncRNA from 1 species